rnacentral:rRNA from 1 species
UGGGGAAUAUUGGACAAUGGGGGCAACCCUGAUCCAGCGACGCCGCGUGUGUGAAGAAGGCCUGCGGGUUGUAAAGCACUUUUAGUGGGGAUGAAAAGUGCAGGGCUAAUACCUCUGCAUCUUGACCUAACCCACAGAAAAAGCACCGGCUAACUCUGUGCCAGCAGCCGCGGUAAUACAGAGGGUGCAAGCGUUAAUCGGAAUUACUGGGCGUAAAGCGUGCGCAGACGGUCAUGUAAGUCGGGUGUGAAAGCCCCGGGCUCAACCUGGGAAUUGCAUUCGAGACUGCAUGGCUAGGGUGCGGAAGAGGGAAGCGGAAUUUCCGGUGUAGCGGUGAAAUGCGUAGAUAUCGGAAGGAACACCAGUGGCGAAAGCGGCUUCCUGGUCCAGCACCGACGUUCAGGCACGAAAGCGUGGGGAGCAAAC